CUGGAAAUCGCCAUCUCCCAAAUCCUCUCGCCGACGCAGCGGCCGCGCUACGAGCGCCGGCGCCGCGGCCUCGGCCUCCGGCGGCGGCUCCGACAGGCGGGCGUCACCAGGACCUCUUCCUCUUACCGCACCGGCUACAGUCUACAUCCACUUCCUCUUGCUCUCCCGCUACCCGCCUUGCUCCGCUUCUCUCUUCCGCCUCCGUUCCCGCCCUAGCGCCGCCUCGUUCACCUCAUCCCUCGCCUCGAUAUCGCCGUCUUCACCCUCAUCCGCCAUGCCGCUCCUCCUCCGCCUCCUCGGCAUGCCCUCGUCCCUCCUCGACGACGGCUUUCUCUUCUCCUUCUUCCGCUCCAUGCCCGUGCCGCCUUCCGUCGAGAUUCAUUUACACGCCACUCCCUUCGAAUUUACAUCCUCCUGCCUCGUUGCUUGUCACCCUUCAGUCUUGAUCCCGAUCCCGUUCGCCUGACACAGCCCGCUACCUGUUCGACGAAAUCCCUGUUGCCUAUUUGCUCAUUGGUACCCCCUCUGACAUCUUGCAAAAUGGGCUCGAAUCUAGAUAGUCUCUUUCAGUAUUAAUCAAGAUGCGCUCAAAAGUUGUAUGGGUUGUGUAAUAGCGGGAUUCAUGCGUGCGCAAUGUGGUUUCAAUGCUUGUCAUCAUGUGUCCCAGGAGUUGGGCUUGCUGUCGUGGACUUUGGUUUCACCACUUCACCCGGAGUAUUUGCAUUUCAUAUUUUUCAUCAAACUCGCACUUCCCAUUGUGUAUAGCGUAGUUCUGUUCUUUCGUCACAAUGGACAAGUGGACUCUCUUAUUGAAUAUUGAAAACUUGGAAAACCUUUGCCAGAUGCAAUUUUGUGUGUGUGUGUGGUUUGAUCCCACGAACUUGAUCCUUUGUAUCUUUUGGGCCUGAAGACACUGAAUGCUAAACUAUCCAUUCAAGUUGCAAAGGGAAUGGAAGAGCCAGAGAAUCUUCAUGCAAAAUAUUAACUGAGGCGUAACAUUCCAGGGAUUCUUCUUUUCACAGAAUCAGCAUGUAUCUGGAGUAUUGAUAUCUGGCAUUUGCCAACGACUGGGUUCAGCAGUCAAUGGGACGAAUCCUUAAUGUUCAGUAGUCAAUGGGACGAAUCUUUGAUGUGAUCAAAGUACGAGGGGUGUUAGAUGGCAAAAAAUUUUUGGCACUAAUGUCACAUUGGAUGGUUACCGGAUGUCAGAAGGGGUUUUUGGAUACGAAUAAAAAAACGAAUUUUACAGCUCAUCUGAAAACCGCGAGACGAAUCU